rnacentral:lncRNA from 1 species
GCAUCAUCAUCUGAUAUGACUGCAACUGCAGUGACAUCUGGUACUACUACAAUUGCAUCGUCAUCUGGUACUACUACAACUGCAUCGUCAUCUGGUACUACUACAGUUGCAUUGUCUGGCACUGCUGCAACCGGUAGAGUUAUGCUUUUAUCUUAUUAUUAUUUUAAAUGCAAAUA